UUCUUCCUACGGGACGCAGCAGUGGGGAAUAUUGCACAAUGGGCGCAAGCCUGAUGCAGCGACGCCGCGCGCGGGAUGGAGGCAUUCGGGUUGUAAAUCGCUUUUGUUCAAGAGCAAGGCACGGUCUUUGGCCGUGUUGAGUGGAUUGUUCGACUAAGCACCGGCUAACUACGUGCCAGCAGCCGCGGUCAUACGUAGGGUGCAAGCGUUAUCCUGAUUUAUUGGGCGUAAAGGGCUCGU
rnacentral:rRNA from 1 species